UGGGGAAUAUUGGACAAUGGGGGAAACCCUGAUCCAGCAAUGCCGCGUGUGUGAAGAAGGCCUGAGGGUUGUAAAGCACUUUUGUUGGGGAGGAGGAUUGAGUGGUUAAGAGCUGUUUAAUCGGACGUUACCCAAAGAAAAAGCACCGGCUAACUCCGUGCCAGCAGCCGCGGUAAUACGGAGGGUGCGAGCGUUAAUCGGAAUUACUGGGCGUAAAGGGUGCGUAGGUUGUUGUAUAAGCUAUCUGUGAAAUACCUGGGCUUAACCUGGGAAUUGCAGGUAAUACUGUAUGACUAGAGUACUGAAGAGGGUAGUGGAAUUUCCGGUGUAGCGGUGAAAUGCGUAGAGAUCGGAAGGAACACCAGUGGCGAAGGCGGCUACCUGGCCAGAUACUGACACUGAAGCACGAAAGCGUGGGUAGCAAACAGG
rnacentral:rRNA from 1 species